AAAGAAUGCUAUCUCGAAACAUCAGUCUCGUCAAGCCGAAAUAGCUCAGUUGGGAGAGCGUUAGACUGAAGAUCUAAAGGUCCCUGGUUCGAUCCCGGGUUUCGGCAAACAACAAGACGCUGUUAUAUUAAUCAGGAAGGCUAUUUCCGCGGCCAGCACGAAGCGCCAGCAAACAGAAGAGCCUCAACAAAAGAGCCGGGAGUCUAGCUGUGGGAGUCCAGCGAGGGGAGGCCUGCCUCGAGACGCUGUUCGAAUAGAUCCUAACCUAACAGUGCUCUGGAAGAUGCCAUCUACUAGUCAGCUAAGAAACUCGGAGUCACCCUGGACCCCUGCCUCUCUUAUUCCCAGCACAUCUCCACUCAGGCACUCACUUGCCAACUCUUCCUGAGCAACAUAUGAAGAAUCCAACCCUUCCUCACCAACUACGCCACCCAGCUCCUGGUCCAGGCCCUGGUACUCUCCCACCUAGACAACUUCAACUCCCUCCUGGCUGGCCUCCCUGCAUCCGCCACCUGUCCGCUCCAGCUCAUCUAAAACUCCGCUGCUCGCCUGGUGUUCUCUCUGCCUCGCUUCUCCCACGCUACUCCACUGCUCCGCUCACUCCACUGGCUCCCGAUCACCGCUCACAUCCAUUUCAAGACUCUUGUACUAGCCUACAGAUGCCUUGACCAGA